GAUGAACGCUAGCGGGAGGCCUAACACAUGCAAGCCGAGCGGUAGCGCGGUCUUCGGACCGGCGGCGAGCGGCGGACGGCUGAGUAACGCGUGGGAACAUACCCCAAAGUGAGGGAUAACCGCCCGAAAGGGUGGCUAAUACCGCAUAUGGUCUUCGGAUUAAAGGAUUUAUCCGCUUUGGGAAUGGCCUGCGUAAGAUUAGAUAGUUGGUAAGGUAAUGGCUCACCAAGUCGACGAUAGUGAACUGGCCUGAGAGGAUGAGCAGUCAGACUGGAACUGAGACACGGCCCAGACUCCUACGGGAGGCAGCAGUGGGGAAUUUUGGACAAUGGGCGAAAGCCUGAUCCAGCAAUGCCGCGUGCAGGAUGAAGGCCUUCGGGUUGUAAACUGCUUUUGUACGGAACGAAAAGCCCUGGGUUAAUACCCUGGGGUCAUGACGGUACCGUAAGAAUAAGCACCGGCUAACUACGUGCCAGCAGCCGCAGUAA
rnacentral:rRNA from 1 species